CACCUGAUUGAUUUUGGUCGCCAACGAGUGGCGGACGGGUGAGUAACACGUAGGUAACCUGCCCAGAAGCGGGGGACAACAUUUGGAAACAGAUGCUAAUACCGCAUAACAGCGUUGUUCGCAUGAACAACGCUUAAAAGAUGGCUUCUCGCUAUCACUUCUGGAUGGACCUGCGGUGCAUUAGCUUGUUGGUGGGGUAACGGCCUACCAAGGCGAUGAUGCAUAGCCGAGUUGAGAGACUGAUCGGCCACAAUGGGACUGAGACACGGCCCAUACUCCUACGGGAGGCAGCAGUAGGGAAUCUUCCACAAUGGGCGCAAGCCUGAUGGAGCAACACCGCGUGAGUGAAGAAGGGUUUCGGCUCGUAAAGCUCUGUUGUUAAAGAAGAACACGUAUGAGAGUAACUGUUCAUACGUUGACGGUAUUUAACCAGAAAGUCACGGCUAACUACGUGCCAGCAGCCGCGGUAAUACGUAGGUGGCAAGCGUUAUCCGGAUUUAUUGGGCGUAAAGAGAGUGCAGGCGGUUUUCUAAGUCUGAUGUGAAAGCCUUCGGCUUAACCGGAGAAGUGCAUCGGAAACUGGAUAACUUGAGUGCAGAAGAGGGUAGUGGAACUCCAUGUGUAGCGGUGGAAUGCGUAGAUAUAUGGAAGAACACCAGUGGCGAAGGCGGCUACCUGGUCUGCAACUGACGCUGAGACUCGAAAGCAUGGGUAGCGAACAGGAUUAGAUACCCUGGUAGUCCAUGCCGUAAACGAUGAGUGCUAGGUGUUGGAGGGUUUCCGCCCUUCAGUGCCGGAGCUAACGCAUUAAGCACUCCGCCUGGGGAGUACGACCGCAAGGUUGAAACUCAAAGGAAUUGACGGGGGCCCGCACAAGCGGUGGAGCAUGUGGUUUAAUUCGAAGCUACGCGAAGAACCUUACCAGGUCUUGACAUCUUGCGCCAACCCUAGAGAUAGGGCGUUUCCUUCGGGAACGCAAUGACAGGUGGUGCAUGGUCGUCGUCAGCUCGUGUCGUGAGAUGUUGGGUUAAGUCCCGCAACGAGCGCAACCCUUGUUACUAGUUGCCAGCAUUAAGUUGGGCACUCUAGUGAGACUGCCGGUGACAAACCGGAGGAAGGUGGGGACGACGUCAGAUCAUCAUGCCCCUUAUGACCUGGGCUACACACGUGCUACAAUGGACGGUACAACGAGUCGCGAACUCGCGAGGGCAAGCAAAUCUCUUAAAACCGUUCUCAGUUCGGACUGCAGGCUGCAACUCGCCUGCACGAAGUCGGAAUCGCUAGUAAUCGCGGAUCAGCAUGCCGCGGUGAAUACGUUCCCGGGCCUUGUACACACCGCCCGUCACACCAUGAGAGUUUGUAACA
rnacentral:rRNA from 2 species